CGUUGAAACUCCUAUUUCUGUACGAUCACCGAAGUUAAGCAACGUCGAGCCUGGUCAGUACGUAGAUGUGUUACUGCUUGGGAAUUCCAGGUGCUGUAA